GAAGCUCAAUUCAGAGAGCUGUGAGUUGCAGAAGCAAACGCUCCAAACCGGCUGCUAACCACAGCUCCCCAGUGCUCUGUGUUUGACUGCUGAUAUUAAACAGAGUAUUUUGUCUACGACGGGGUGUUACUUUGCUCAGGGGAUGAUUAAGUGCACAAGCGAUGGAAGGAUAUUCAAUCUCAUUGAAGAAGAGUGCAAUUACACGACAAGUUCAGCAGGUAUGUUCUGAUAUGAUUCCACCAAUCAGAAGUGAGGACUGCAGUUUUCCAUUUCAUGAAAUAACCAGCCGAACAGGAGCAGUGUCAGCCCAAUGUCUCAUGCAACCGUCACCAAGUGCUAUCUAGCUUUGACUCCCUGCCAUAUGUUCUCCCUGGCGCAGGCUGCCACAGAGGAAGAAGGAAGAGAGGAAGGGGGGGUAGUGGUGGUGGAGGGGCUGUCUCUGCACAUCUCCUACAGACUGACAGAGUUAAUAAGGGACAGUGCUUGGUGAAAUCUGUCUAAACGAACCGGCCUGUCGCGAAAGAUAAUCCCUGUGAAUACAAAAUAAAUCAUUGGAUCACUGGAAGAAGCUCAGCUAAUGAAAUCAAUGCUCGCCAUCUGGGACCAUUUCAUGUGUGACAUACGCCUACAAAGAGGCCAGUUGGACCUGUGAUGGUGAAACCAUGGUAACAGGAAGUAGUACAUUACUAGCCUAGGGAGGUGACACCAUGACACCCUCCACCUUCACAUUGGUGCCUAUUAGAGGGAGACAUCACCAGAGGUACUUUGGUGAUGGAUCGAGGAAACUGUGAGCCCGCCAUCACACAUGCAGGGAUCACCCAAUUUUACGCUGAUUGUCCUAUAUCAGCUGUUGACAUUUUUGCCCUCUAGUAAGCAGUGCUCCUUCUGGUAGGACUAUAAUGACAUGCCAUGGUGCAUGGAGGGUCUCUGAGGAGAGCUGUCCGCCUCUUUCUACUCAAAUGUUCUCCAUCUGUCCUCCCCCUCUCCCCUCCUGUGUCAUCCCUCUGUUUAAAAACGUCAGUCUUAAUAAAUCAAAAAGUCAGGUUACCGAGUUUUAAAAACAGCUCUAGUUGGGUCAUCAAACAGUGUCUAACCCUGCCUUCCGAAAACGAUUAAUACAUUUGCUUUUAGAUAUGGUUGAACAACAUAUCCUACGGAAUACAAAAUCUGUGAUCACUGUGAGAUAGCCCAGCCAGCCAGCCAAAUUAAAACGCCCUAUGACAUGCUGCUUUUUGGAUGCUUUUAUAUAGACCUUA